UACGUAGGGUGCGAGCGUUGUCCGGAAUUAUUGGGCGUAAAGAGCUCGUAGGCGGCUUGUCGCGUCGGAUGUGAAAGCCCAGGCUUAACUCCGGGUCUGCAUUCGAUACGGGCAGGCUAGAGUGUGGUAGGGGAGAUCGGAAUUCCUGGUGUAGCGGUGAAAUGCGCAGAUAUCAGGAGGAACACCGGUGGCGAAGGCGGAUCUCUGGGCCAUUACUGACGCUGAGGAGCGAAAGCGUGGGGAGCGAACAGG
rnacentral:rRNA from 1 species